rnacentral:rRNA from 1 species
CCUACGGGUGGCAGCAGUGAGGAAUAUUGGUCAAUGGGCGGGAGCCUGAACCAGCCAAGUCGCGUGAAGGAUGACGGCCCUAUGGGUUGUAAACCUCUUUUGCCGGGGAGCAAAGUGACGCACGUGUGCGGUUUGGAGAGUACCCGGAGAAAAAGCAUCGGCUAACUCCGUGCCAGCAGCCGCGGUAAUACGGAGGAUGCGAGCGUUAUCCGGAUUUAUUGGGUUUAAAGGGUGCGUAGGCGGACGCUUAAGUCAGUGGUAAAAUUUCGGGGCUCAACCUAGUAGAGCAGUUGAAACUGGGUGCCUUGAGUGGGCGAGAAGUACGCGGAAUGCGUGGUGUAGCGGUGAAAUGCAUAGAUAUCACGAAGAACUCCGAUUGCGAAGGCAGCAUACCGGCGUUCCACUGACGCUCAUGCACGAAAGUGUGGGUAUCGAACAGGAUUAGAUACCCCUGUAGUC